UCUUUUUGUUGAAGUCAGUCAGAUUAGAUAUAAGAAUGUUUGCACAUCAAAAAAUAAAUAAAUCUGUACCAUGCGUAAUGUGUUUAGUGUUUUUGGAGUAAUGUUUUGGGUCUUUGGGCUUUUUAUUUUGACAGGACAGUUCAAGGUGAUCGGAGAGAGGGGGACAGCGUCAGGAAAGGACCACAAUUUUGGAGUCUUCUCCUCUAACAAGGCCACAAAAUGAUUCACCUCUCAUUGGGCGGGUGAGAUGCCCUGAGAAAUAGCACGGAGCAUCACACCAGAGUAAUUCCACUCUCCAAAACCACAGAGAUUCAUUCUUCCUCGUCUUCAAGACUCUUCUUUGAAAAUGAAUGUAGUCAGCCAAGGGGCGGGCAGCACUUCGAUGCCGUCUCCAGGGUGGCUGGCAUUUGAUGCAAGAUAUCUCAUCAUUCCCCAUUCUCAUGCUAAUGAAGG